GUUUGACAAAGUACUCUACUGCCGCUGGUUUCAGUUCCCUCACUGGAUUUGCAGGCUCACGACCAUCCUCCAACAUCCCGUCAGUGCCACUGAUUUGAAGGACCUCGGUGAGCGUGUACUUCUCCUGCACCAGAGAGGUUUGGACAGACGCUGAUCACUAGCUCUCUAUGACGCCGCCGAUCACUAGAACGAAGAACACCAGCAGGAUGAGAAUGAAGUACAUGACAUAGACAAUGAGGACGACCAAAACAUGGAAUCCGUACACAUAGCACCAACUGCAAAUUCGAACUUUCUGUCUAUGAUGAUUUGAUUGCUACUUCUUAAAGAAAGUGUACAUAACAGUUAGAUGUUUGUGCUAGAAAGGAAAACUUGUUUGAAUUAAAAACAUUGACCAGUAUGAAUCAAAAACAUUGAUCAGUUUGAUAGUGCUCUCUCCUA